ensembl:misc_RNA Y_RNA Y RNA
GACUAGUCCGAGCGCACUAGUGAUUGUAAUUGGUUGAUCACAACCAGUUACGGAUAUCUUUGUUCCUUCUUCACUCUCACUACUUUAUUUGAUUAGUCUUAA